rnacentral:lncRNA from 1 species
CGAAGUCUUCGUAGUAUCAAUAUUAUAAUUCUUUUGUCAUGUUUUGUAGGAGAGAAGUCUUCUUAGUAUCAGUAUUAUAAUUCUUUUGUCAUGUUUUGUAGGAGAGAAGUCUUCGAAGUAUCAGUAUUGUAGUUCUUUUGUCGUUUUUUGUAGGAGAGAAGCCAUCGUAGUAUCAGUAUUGUAAUUCUUUUGUCAUGUUUUGUGGGAGCGAAGUCUUCGUAGUAUGAAUAUUAUAAUUCUUUUGUCAUGUUUUGUAGGAGAGAAGUCGUCGUAGUAUCAGUAUUAUAAUUCUUUUGUCAUGUUUUGUAGGAGAGAAGUCUUCGUAGUAUCAGUAUUGUAAUUCUUUUGUCAUGUUUUAUGGGAGAGAAGUCUCCUUAGUAUCAAUAUUGUAGUUCUUUUGUCGUUUUUUGUAGGAGCGAAGUCUUCGUAGUAUCAAUAUUAUAAUUCUUUUGUCAUGUUUUGUAGGAGAGAAGUCUUCGUAGUAUAAAUAUUGUAGUUCUUUUGUCAUGUUUUGUGGGAGCGAAGUCUUCGUAGUAUGAAUAUUAUAAUUCUUUUGUCAUGUUUUGUGGGAGAGAAGUCCUCGUAGUAUCAGUAUUAUAAUUCUUUUGUCAUGUUUUGUAGGAGAGAAGUCUUCGUAGUAUCAGUAUUGUAAUUCUUUUGUCAUGUUUUAUGGGAGAGAAGUCUCCUUAGUAUCAAUAUUGUAGUUCUUUU